rnacentral:rRNA from 1 species
GACGAACGCUGGCGGCGUGCCUAAUACAUGCAAGUUGAGCGAUGAAGCUUGGUGCUUGCACCAAUUUGAAGAGCAGCGGACGGGUGAGUAACGCGUGGGGAAUCUGCCUUUGAGCGGGGGACAACAUUUGGAAACGAAUGCUAAUACCGCAUAAUAACUUUAAACAUAAGUUUUAAGUUUGAAAGAUGCAAUUGCAUCACUCAAAGAUGAUCCCGCGUUGUAUUAGCUAGUUGGUGAGGUAAAGGCUCACCAAGGCGAUGAUACAUAGCCGACCUGAGAGGGGGAUCGGCCACAUUGGGACUGAGACACGGCCCAAACUCCUACGGGAGGCAGCAGGAGGGAAUCUUCGGCAAUGGACGAAAGUCUGACCGAGCAACGCCGCGUGAGUGAAGAAGGUUUUCGGAUCGUAAAACUCUGUUGGUAGAGAAGAACGUUGGUGAGAGUGGAAAGCUCAUCAAGUGACGGUAACUACCCAGAAAGGGACGGCUAACUACGUG